UACGAAGGGGGCUAGCGUUGUUCGGAAUUACUGGGCGUAAAGGGCGCGUAGGCGGUGUGUCAAGUCAGGCGUGAAAGCCCCGGGCUCAACCUGGGAACCGCGCUUGAGACUGGCACGCUCGAGUUCGGGAGAGGAUGGUGGAAUUCCCAGUGUAGAGGUGAAAUGCGCAGAUAUCAGGAGGAACACCGAUUGCGAAGGCAGCUCGCUGGGACGUAACUGACGCUGAGACGCGAAAGCGUGGGGAGCAAACAGG
rnacentral:rRNA from 1 species